CGGAUGAUGAGUUUCCUUUGGAGGGCACGGAACACAAUCGGGCUUUUUAUCUCAUAGUGAAAUGCGAAGAUUUUGUGGUCACAAGAGUGCUAGUUGACAAUGGUUCCAAUGCAGACAUCUGCCUUCUCUCCACUCUGUUGAUACCCCAAUUUUUCCCUAUAUAUUUUUAAUAUACAUAAAUACUUUCAAAAAAAGCAUACAUAUGCAUAUAUAAGAAUGCACAAGGUCUUUAUAAUUUUUCUGUAAUUUUUAAGGUUUUAAAUUGAUUUAUUUCUUCCUUUUUUACUUAUAAAAAUUCCAAUAAUUAUCCUUCAAAUUAUUGUCAUGAUAAUUUAACCAUCUAAAUCCUAUAUUUAUGCCAAAAUAUUGCUUAAAUAUUUUUUGUGCAUUUUUUACAAUUUCAUUUAUUUUUUAAGGCCAAUUUGCAUAUAAUUGCAAUAUUAGCCUUAUUAAUGUACAAUUACGUUUUAUAUACAUAAAAUGAUCUUCUAUAUUUUCAAAAUGUUAUUUAAAUCAUUUUGGUACAUGAAAUUAUUUUUAAAAAUCUUCUAUUAUUUAUUAUAAAUUUUAUAGGGCUAAAUUAGCUAUAUAAAACUUAGCCAAAUCAUAUUUCAAUUAUAGCCUCAAUUAAAUCCAAUACCCAGCCCAAUUUCAGGCCAAAUUACCAGACCUAGGCCCUAAUGCAAUUACCCAACCCAAAACCCAUCAGAUCCUCGCCGUUGAUCUUUUUAGAUCAACGACCCUCGUUCAUUCCUUCUUAUUUUAACUCUAAACAACCCCUAGCCCUAAUCAUUUUCCAUAUACCGCCGCCCUAAAAUCCUAUCUACUCUCAGUACACUCUCAACCUAACCCAAGCACUUCAACCGUCGACUUCCCAUCUCCGGUGACCUCUCAUCACCUCUUACGCCUCUGAUGGCUUCUUUCAUGCCAUGAUUGCCUUCUCUAAGAUUUUCAAGGGCCCAGUGUCAUGCUGACUUGCACCUAAGGUUCGCCAGCUGCCUGUUCUUGGCUACUCCAGUGUGAUUUCAAGCAAAAUCAAGUUGUAUUUGCAACGAUCCUUGGGUUUUUUAAGCAAGUUCUUCAUCUCUCUAUGGGUUUCAUUUGAAGCCCUAAUUUCUUUUUUAUACCUCCUAGAUCUGUAUAGAUCUAAGACGAUUUGAGUUUGUUCCGUUAGUGUUUUACACUGUCCUUGAGAUUCUUUACAAGAAUCAUUGAUUUUAAGUGUUUUUCACCUACUUCUAAAUAUUAGGGUUUCGGAACUUCUUUUUAAAACCUUGUUUAACUGAUUCUUUAUGUUUAAACUUCUAUUUCUUGCAUUAUUUUUAACUGAUUCUAUGACUUUACUACAUCUUCAACUCAUCUAUGUUGAAAGCCCUAAUUUUAGGGUUCUUCGUUUGGUUUUUUUUCUUUGUGACUGACCGGUUCUCGUUUGAGUUCCCGUGACUAUCUAGCCUCAAAUAUGUUUCUAUUGAGUUUCUUAGCCUGACUUACAUCAAGUCUAUGUGCUUGUGUUCAUCUUGACUGUUCAAAACUUGUCUCUUUCUCAUUGAAUCAGUUUUGUUUAACUUGCAUGCUUGCUAGAGUUAUAUGUCAACCUUUGGCUAUCCAUGUCUUACUUUAUAUGCUAAACAUUGACUCAUGAUUUUCUCUUUGACUGAUUCUGAAUUCCCUAUUUCUUGGCUUGAUUUGAAAUCUUUCCUUUAGACCUUGGAUUCCACAUGUUUAAAUUUGGCUUAUUUUCUCAUCCAUGGGAACCUAUGUUAUUCUCCUUAAAUCAGUAUUAUUUUGAGUCCUUGACUCACUGAUUUGCUAUAUACUGAUUCUCGAUUAUUUCCAUAUUUUUGCAACCUUAUUUUGUUUUCUUACCUUAUUUGGUUAAUCAAGUAUUUUACUGAUUCUUCACCAACUGUUUCCUUAAUUGAAUCAUUUGUGUAUUUACCCCUAAUUGUCUAUUUUGUACCUAAUGCCUUACUUGAUUUUCUUUCCUCAAACAUGUCCUACUCUUUACCGUUGGCCAAUUACCCCUUAAUUAAGGGGAUACAUGCAUUGAUUUGAUUAUGAUUAGUAUAUGGUUCCCUAAUUAUUGCUGAACAUUGAUUCUUGCCUUAUUUUCUACCUAUCCUCAAAAUAUAAAUACCCUACUCUUUCAUUAGCACAACACACGAACAGAUUGGUUCAAAACUCUCUCUCUCUCUCUCUCACUAAAAGCUUUCUGCUCUCUUUUGUGUUGCCUAUUACUGUUCUAAGUUAGCCAGCUCAAAUACAAGGCUAACUAUUGGGUUCUCUUUCACUUUGUGUUUACCAUCCCUUUACUAGUAUGUUCUAAAUUCAAUUCAAGUCCCAAAACAAUAUGCUUCUCCUACUACUUCAAUUUGUCAUGUUCCUAAUAUGCUUUCAUUAAAGGUUUUGUUGUUUAACCUGCAACUAACAUGUCUACUUCAAUGUUUUCUUUACUGUAUGCUUCUUAAUACCCCCUUAGGGUUAGCCUGCUCAUGAAUCCCUUUCUAGUAUACCCCAAUAUGACUAUGUUUCUCUGAUUUCUGAAAUGCACCUUCCAGUGUAAACUAAUUGGCAAUUCUAAGCCUGUUUGAUUCUGUAUUAACUCUGAAGUUCAUGUUGUACCUAUGUGCAUUUGUGCUUACUAUGUACCCUAACUUGCCCCACAAUCCCCAUUAACCCUGAGUGAACGUGUGUACCUAUUUUAUUCCAUGCAUUGAAGUGAUGAGGAACCUUUUCUGGUUCUGUAUUUGGUUUGUUCAUUGUUAAUCACCUUAUUCUUUUAAAAUUUUCUUAUUUAAUAACUCCAUGUGUUGUCUUUACAAAACUAUUUCAAGCAAAUCUCUUUUAACACUGUUUUCCUACUAAAACCCUUUUCAAACUAUGUCAAGCACUCUCACUUUACUCUUAAGUCCCUAGGUUCUGCCUAUCCUAGUGUGUGUACUAUCUUGGGAUCCUUUGGAGAUCCCUCUGAACUCUGGCACACUGAGGCUGGCCCUUCCAUAGUGAACUUACUCAAUUUGGUUACAAUGUCUAGGUGCGAGCACUGCCCAGGAUCCUUAAGAUCCUUAGGGAACUCUAAUGCACCUAGACAAUAAUAUUGUCUAUGAAAUUGGCAUUUGAGGAUAUUGGAGGUUUUGGAAAUCACUUGGGCCUGCUUCAGGCUCCCUAUAGUUUAACUUCUUCUUUUUCUUUAUCUAUGCAAUUCAUUCAUCUGGUUUGUAAUAAUUUGCAAACGAAUAUUGGCUUGAUUAGUCAAAAGGGGUGGGUAGUUACAUAUUUGUGGGGUAAUAUGGGUAGAAACCAUGCCUAUAGUUAUCCUGCUUCUAGGCAUCACCUUUCUGCAUUUAGGCAAGCCUGUAGGGCGUUUUAAAUUCUAUAACUUUGAAACUGUAUUUCUACUACUUGAAGUUGUUUAGAUUUAACAAGUCUAAUCUGUAGGCAAGUUAAAUAGGAUCCUUCAUAUAUUGGCCUAAUUCAGUACUUUAUAACCUCUGCUCACCUAGAUAUCAUGUUCUAGGAGUUGUUUCUUAAAUGUUUAAAUGUUGUUUGAAGACUUGAACUUAUAUGAUAUGCUCGAGGAGGUAACUGUGAGCCUCUAACUUGCUUUAUAUGCAGUCCUAAAUUGUUCUUGCAUGUCGCCUAGAAUUUUCUCCUUUUAAGCACCUUAGGGGUUGUCUAAAACUACCCAGAUUUAGAGGUCCUAAAAUACCUCCAGGGCCACAAGGAAGGGACGGGUAGUGCAUGCAUAGGCAUUGUCAAGGUUACUAGAAUGCUUUAGGCUAUGACCAACGGGAGGGGCUUGGGUAGAAUGGGAUAUGAUGACUACGUGCUCAUGUCACGUGCAGCCCCUCAUUGAGGAGUGUUUACCGGGAAUUGCGUGGGGUGAUCCUGUUGGCUAACCAACCUAGGACCCCUCCUUUCCAAAAAUUCUUUUGCUUUACUUGUUCUAUAUGUAAACAACUUGUUCAAAAUCUUUGUCUUAUUAUUUGAGUUAUACAACGUCCAACGCUCUUUAUUUGCAAUUAUUUGUUUCAACUACUUAUUUGUUAAUGGACUAAUUCAUAAAUAUAAGUUCGGUCGGGACCCACAGUUGUGGACCAAGAGGGGUGCCUAACACCUUCCCCUCGAGGUUAUUUCGAGCCCUUACCCUAAAUCUUUGGUAAUGCAAACCAAUCUAAGAGUUAGUUGCUCUAUGCGCCCUAACGCACCAUAAUCCGUAAAGUGGAGACUCAUCAAAUACCUAAUUCCCAAAAGGAAAUGAGUUAUUACCCCCAUAAAUGUCGAAACUCCGAACCUUUUCUUCCCCGUAAAGAAGGGAGGGAGAAAAAGGGGGCGCGAGAACAUGGCGACUCUUUUAAGCAUUUAUGACUCUUUAUCCCUGAAACUGACUUUUCUCUUUAUUUUCUUCUUCAUGUAACUGUCUUUCAAUUAUUCAAAUAUUGUAUUUAUUUUUCCUACGUGCAAAUACUUGACUACAUGUUAUUAAUUGGUGCAUAACUCAUGUGCCAUAUCAUAUUCCACUCGUGUGUAUCAAAUCUUAUAGCAACGCUUUAAUGAGUGGUUGCGCUCUUCCUAUUUACUACCCUUAAAUUUGGAAAGGCUUAUUUGUGGUAAAACCAGUCGAUUAGCAGUGCAGCCGAUGGUUUCGUGCCUUCCCUCUCAAGUUGUUUGCUUGAGGGUACCAGUCUAAAAUCCCAUAGUAGACUUACUCUAUUUAAUAUUGUGCAUGCAUCAUGGUCAAACCUAGUCAGGAUCAAUAUGUUGUCCAUAUAAUGAACCUUUAAGAUAAGUCUUAUCCAAAAGUCCAUCGGGUUUUCCGUAAUCCCAACAGACGCAACCACAUUCUGUGCAUUAAUUUGGAGAACUAAAUGUCGAUAUGCUAAUUAUAAAUGUAUAAAUAGUCAAGUCUGGUGGAGAUGGUCCUAACCCUUUUGUUUUGCAGAAAAUGAGGCACGAGGUCCCCAACUUUGGUAUGGUUAGCACACCCUCACUCUUGCUAGACUGGUAGAGGAAUCUUCCAUCAAAUGACCAAAUCAAUGAAUGGAAAGAGAGGGCCGCCAAAUCUAGCGAGAAGCUGGAAUAUCUGGAAUACAGCCUAUUGGAAUUGGAAGGAAAAGUGAAGAAGAGAGUCACCGACUGCCAGAACGCUGAGAGAAAUGAAGGAGGACAUUUGGCAAAGGCAUUCUUACUGGUGAACCUACGCGAACUGGAGGAUCUGAUCAACGAGAGAAUUCAACCUGAGAAAGGUCCAUCUGGGACCAAAUAAGCUAGAUUUAUUUGUUUUUUCCUAAAAUGUAAUAAGGCCGAGUGUCAGUAGUGACUUAUUUUAUCAUCUUAGUGUCGUUUUGGGAUUCGUCUAUUUUUAUAUUAUGAAAUGAAGCAUUUAUUGGCAUUAAAAGUUUUCCAAAUUUAUUUGUCGCUAGGCCUACCUCGGGCAUAAUGAGUUUCCCAAAGUAGGACGCGAAUUUACAUUUCCGCAACAUGUGUUUAAAUACUGCAAGCAUUUCAGGAUCCCCACUGACUUGUUAUCUUUUUGUUUUUCCUUAUUUUUGAUUAUUCCCAUCCAUUUAGGUUGGUUCACUCAUACUGGCCUCAUCAGCGUAUCAUACCAUAUCCAGAGGCCCUCCACCUCUUCCUCCUCCAAGAAAUAUAAAAGGCAGAGGAAAAGCAAAAAUGGAUGACUUAAGUGGAAUCUGAAAGGAGAAUAUCGAGAAUGCAGAAACCUCAGAUGGUCGUAGUACUCCGGCCCCAAAUGAUCUGGUUUUGAGAUUGGAACAAAAGAUACUAGAGCUGCAAGGAGAACUUGAGCAUGUUCGCAACUUGUUAAACUUGUCACUCACUCUAAAUAUCCCUGUCAUCAACCAACAGAACACUAAGAACCCAACACCUCCCCAUAAUAUACAAAACCAACAUCCACAAAAUCCUCCUGCACUGAAUCAAUAUCUCAACCCACUGCCAAUACGAACUCCACCACAACAUCACCAUCAACCAAUUCAGUACCCGCCAACCACCACUUACCCCACUCCCUAAAACACACCACCCAUUCCCGAUCCACAAAACUACACCAAUGUCCAUCACUACACCCAAGUUCCUAGCACCCAUCAAAGCAACCCUAUAUAUGUGGAAACUGUACCUCAUUCUACCCAACCAAUCUCCUGUACACUGGAAUCCUCCAAGAAGGACUUGCUUAUUAAAAACAUGGCUAAAGAACUCAAGAAAUUAACAAGCCGAGUUCAGGGUAUUGAAGGCGACGGAGGAAUAGAAGGUUUAAACUAUGAAGACCUGUGCAUACAGCCAAAUGUUGAAUUGCCUGAGGGGUACAAACCUCCCAAGUUCGAGAUGUUCGACGGCACAAGUGAUCCCAGGGCUCAUCUAAGGACCUAUUGUGACAAGCUUAUCAGGGUCGGGAAAGAUGAAAAGAUCUGGAUGAAGCUCUUUAUGAGAAGUCUUACUGGGGAUGCUUUGUCUUAGUAUAUUAGCCAAGAUCCCAAGAAAUGGUCCAAGUAGAUAAGUAUGGCAUUGGAUUUCAUGGACCGGUUCAGGUUCAACACAGAGAACGCACCGGAUGUUUUCUACAUUCGGAAUAUUAAGAAGAAACCUACUGAGACUUUCCGUGAGUAUCCUACUCGUUGGAGGUCGGAAGCGGCCAAGGUCAGGCCAUCUUUGGAUGAAGAACAAAUGAACAAAUUCUUCGUCCGAGCGCAGGAUCCACAAUAUUAUGAAAGGUUGAUGGUUGUCGAAAAUCACAAAUUCUCUGACAUCAUCAAACUUGGGGAAAGAAUCGAAAAAGGAAUUAAGAGUGGGAUGCUAACGAACUUUGAGGCAUUGCAAUCCACGAAUAAGGCACUACAAUCAGGAGGCAUAUCGAAGAAGAAAGAUGUUGGGGCAGUAAUGGUGGCCCAGGGUCCAAAAUCCUCACUUGUCUAUCAAACCCCUCUAUCUACAUAUCAAACACCUCCUCCCACAUAUCAAGCACAUUUACCUACAUAUCAAACACCUCCACCCACAUACCAAGCAUCACCGCCUACAUAUCAACCUUCAUCUCCUAGAUAUUCCUAACCAUCCUACGUCUAUCACACCUACAACUCCCAACCAUCCCACUUCCAAUCACCAUCAGCCCGCCAAAACUAUCCAUGACCAAGACCCAACUUCGAUCGUAAACAACCCAGACAAUACACCGCCAUUACUGAGCCCAUUGACCAGUUGUCUGAAAGGUUUAAAGCCGCAGGUUACAUCACUCAUGUUCCCACAAUGGCGUUAGAAAGUUCAUCCCAAUAGGUCAAUCCGAACAAGACUUGUAUGUGUCAUUCUGGUAUGAAGGGGCACACCACUGCUGAGUGUCGUACAUUGAAAGAUAAGAUCCAGACGUUGAUUGAAACCAAGGUCAUAUAGGCAAAGGAAGUUGAACCUAACGUUUACAAUAAUCCCCUCCUUAAUCAUAGAGGUGAUAGUGUACAUGUGAUAGAGAAAAAUGAAGAAUGGGACCCUGAGGGUCGAUUGGGCUUAUUCGAGAAGGAGAUGACUUUAAAGUUGCAGUCAAACUUACUCCUAUUGUGGUACAGACUCAUUCCUCAAUCGAGGUUGAGGUAACUGCAUUAGUUCCAUUCGAGGUAGAGGUGGCUCCGCCCGUGGCCACUCUUGCUCUAUUUUAAGUCGAAGUGGUCACACCUUUCACUGUGUCAGUGUCAACCACACCCCCAUUCAACUCAAAAGCAAUACACUGGGAUUAUGUUGUUGAGUCUCGGCGAAAGGGGAAGGCCAAGAUAGAGAAAUCUAACGCCGCACAAGGAAUAACUAGAACUGGAAGAGUCUAUACACUGGAACAUUUGGGAGGAUCAAGUAAGGAUGACACUACUAGGCAGCCUAUCAUUGAGACCGGGCCAGAUGACCUGUGGAGGAAAGUACAGGCAAAGGAGUAUUCUAUCGUUGACCAUCUGAACAAAGUCCCUGCUCAGAUAUCAAUCCUGUCACUAUUUCAAAAUUCAGUGGCACACAAGAAUGCUUUAAUUAAAGUGCUAAGUAAGGCUUAUGUACCCAAUAACAUCACUGGCGGAUAAAUGGCCAAGAUGGUUGGGCAUGUACUGGAAAGUCAUAAGAUCAUCUUCCAUGAGGAUGAGCUACCACUUGAGGGGCUAAAUCACAAUCGAGCAUUGCAUAUCAUACUGCAAUGUGAAGACAAGUUCAUUGACGCGGUCCUAUUUAACAGAGGUUCAAGCCUAAAUAUUUGUCCGCUGGACACUCUAAAAAGGUUGGACAAAGGUUUCCAUGAAAUACGGGUAAGAAGCAUGAAUGUGAAAGCAUUCGAUAGGUCCCAAAAGGCCACAAUUGGGGAAAUCAACCUUUGCUUGCAGAUGGGGGCCAACUUGGUUCGAUGUCGAGUUUUAGGUGCUCAACAUACCAGCCUCAUAUAAUCUUCUGCUCGGCCGACCAUGGAUACAUGUCGCUAGAGCCAUGCCUUCCACACUACAUCAAGACGUUAAAUCGAAUGAACCGUUAGAGGGUGAUCAUCCAUAGAGAUGGGAGUAACCCCAUCUACACAAGUCAAACCAUUCCGGCCAUUGGACAUAGAAGGAGGCUAGGAGAGGAGACCUAUCAUCACAUUGAACGGGUCAACGCCGUCGAGAAAGAUAAAUGGUGGAGUAACAAAAUAGAAAGCAUACUAGCAUGGUCUGGAUAUGAACCCGGUAAAGGGUUGGGAAAGAACCUCCAAGGUAUCACUAAACCAAUAUAGCUGAAAAAUCAUGGUACCACCUUUGGGAUUGGAUACCAGUAUACAUGGAAAAACUAUAGGAAUUGGUUGCCUCCAUGGUGUGGACCAUAUUACCCUCUUGAACAGCCACUGCCGCGUUUGGAACAAGCUUUUCACCAGGCUAAUACGAUAUAGGGGACUACAGAAGAAGAAGCACUAGCAGGGUUGAAGAAUUUAUUCUUGGAAGAUGAAGACAUGGACUACAGUGCCAUAAUUGAGGAGGAGGAAGAAGAAGUCCUCACUAUUCAGACCAUGAAGAAGGGAGUUGUCCUCAGAAACUGAACCGUCACACCAUCCCGAGCCCGUCGAGUCCCUGGGUAGCCUGGUAGAUGUUUACUUUUAUAGCCAUUCUAGGCAUUUAACCAGCAACUUUGUUUUAAGAUUUACUUGUUUCAAAAUAAAUGCUCGAUUCAUCGAACCAAGCAUUGUCUGAACGAUUUUCUCAAUUUUAAUCAAAUGCAUUUGUUCUUUAUCGUUAUUCAUUACUAUUUUUAUACUUUUUCCUUCUACAGUGUUAUUAUUACUUUUCCUGAUGAACCAGUGACUGUGACAUGUAAUGAGGCAACGCAACAUGAGAAUAAUGAUUCAGAUGAAUAGGAUGAGAUACCCGAGGAAAUUGUCAGGAAAGUCAAUAAUUUUGAGAACAAGCCUAAGUCCAACCUGGACGAACAGAAGCCGUAAAUUUGGGAGACCCCGAAAACGUCAAUGAGACUUGCAUCAGCAUUUACUUGUCACCGGAAGAGAAGGAAGAGUACAUUCGGUUCCUAAGAGAGUAUGAGGAUAUUUUCGCAUGGUCAUAUGAUGACAUGACCGAUUUGAGCACGUCCAUAGUGGCUCACAAGCUGCCUAUUAAUCCCAUGUGUCAACCAGUCAAGCACAAACUCAGAAAGUUCAAACCAGACAUGAGCCUAAAAAUCAAGGAGGAAGUUACUAGGCAGAUCAAAGCCAAAGUUCUCAGGGUGGUUGAGUACUUGACUUGGUUAGCUAACAUUGUGCCAGUUCCGAAAAAGGAUGGGAAGGUCAGGGUAUGUUUUGACUAUCGGGAUUUAAACAGAGCGAGUCCCAAGGACGACUUUCCACUACCAAACAUACACAUUUUGAUCGACACCAAGCAUGAACUCCAAUCCUUUGUAGAUUGCUUCGCGGGUUAUCACCAGAUCUGGAUGGAUGAAGAAGAUGUAGAUAAGACAGCUUUUAUUACACCAUAGGGUGUAUACUAUUACAAGAUGAUGCCAUUCGGUUUGAAGAACACUAGGGCCACUUACAUGAGAGUCAUGACAACCAUAUUCCAUGAUAUGAUACAUAAAGAAAUAGAGGUGUAUGUGGACGAUGUCAUUAUCAAAUACAAGAAGGCCACGAAUCACAAAGCAGACUUGAGGAAGUUCUUUGACAAACUAAGGAGGUACAAUUUGAAACUGAACCCCGCAAAGUGUGCAUUCAUGGUUCCUGCCGGAAAGUUAUUGGCAUUCGUCGUUAGUCGUCGAGGAAUCGAGAUGAAUCCAUCUAAAGUCAAGGCUAUUUAGGAAUUACCACCACCUAAGAGCAAAAAGGACGUGAUGAGCUUCCUAGGACGUCUUAACUACAUCAGCGGCUUCAUAGCACAGAUCACAGUCAUAUGUGAGCCCAUAUUCAAGAUGCUAAGAAAAGAUGCCGAAACGAGCUGGACUGAGGAUUAUCAGAAAACCAUUGACAGAAUUAAGGAGUACCUAUCCACACCACCAGUGAUGGUCCUGCCAGAGCUGGGCGGCCUUUACUACUUUAUCUAUCUAUAUUCGAUGGGGCCUUCGGAUGUGUUUUGGGACACCAUGAUGAGACUGAAAGAAAGGAGUAGGCUAUAUACUACUUGAGUAAGAAGUUCACACCUUAUGAAGCACAGUAUUCUCUGCUUGAACGCACUUGCUGUGCUUUGACCUGGACGACCCAGAUGUUAAGGCAUUACUUCUGUGCCUAUACAACAUACCUCAUAUCCAGGAUGGACCCUUUAAAGUACAUAUUUCAGAAACCCAUGUCGACUGGGACGUUGGCUAAAUGGCAAAUACUACUAAGCGAGUUCGAUAUCGUCUACGUAACCGAAAAGGUGGUCAAAGGAUAAGCACUGGCAAAUCAUCUCGCUGAAAAUCCGGUGGGAGGAGCAUACGAACCUUUGAAGACAUAUUUUCCUGAUGAAGAAAUAUCAUUUAUAGGGGAGGAUGUUACCGAAGCAUAUGAUGGUUGGAGGAUGUUUUUUGAUGGAGCGAUUAAUUUUAAAGGAGUGGGCAUUGGAGCAGUUUUGGAAUUAGAAAUGGGUCAGCAUUAUCCUGUAUCUGCUAAACUCAUAUUCCCCUGAACCAACAACAUGGAAGAGUAUAAAGCUUGCAUACUGGGACUCAACAUGGCAAUCGACAUAAACAUUCAGGAGUUGCUGGUGAUCGGAGAUUCUGAUUUGCUUGUGCACCAAGUACAAGGAGAGUGGGCCACCAAGAACUCCAAGAUAUUGUCAUAUCUACACCAUGUGUAGGAAUAGAGAAAGAGGUUCGCAAGGAUAGAAUUCCGACAUGUGCCUAGAAUUCAGAAUGAGUUUACCGACGCAUUGGCCACCUUAUCAUCUAUGAUACAACAUCCAGAUAAGAAUUAUAUUGAUCCCAUUCCGGUAAAGAUCCAUAAUCAGCCGGCAUAUUGUGCCCAUGUUGAAGAAGUGACGGAUGGAAAACCUUGGUUCCACGACAUCGAGGAGUAUUUGUCGAAGGGAGAAUACCUAGAGCAUGCUAAUCACACUCAAAAACACAAACUCCGGAGACUGUCAAAUCACUUCUUCCACAACAGAGGAAACUUGUACAUAAGAACUCCUGAUUUGGGUUUACUAAGGUGUGUCAACGCAAAGAAAACGUAUAAGCUACUGAGGAUGUACAUGUCGGGACCAGUGGCCCACAUAUGAAUGGUUUUGUCUUGGCUAAGAAGAUACUCAGAGUCGGUUACUUUUGGAUGACCAUGGAGACGAUUGCAUCCAAUAUGUCAGCAAAUGCUUUCAAUGUCAAGUGCAUGCCAAUAUGAUAAAAGUGCCGCCGAAUGAGCUCAAUGCAACAAGCUCACCUUGAAAAUUCGCGCGCCUGGGGAAUGGAUGUUAUUGGUCCAAUUGAGCCCACUACUUCAAACAGACACAGGUUUAUUCUUGUCGCCAUUGAUUACUUCACAAAAUGGGUAGAGGCUGCAUCUUACAAAGCUGUAACCAAGAAAGUCAUCACAGAUUUUGUCAAGGGUCAUAUUGUUUGCCGAUUCGGGGUUCCUGAGUCCAUUAUUACUGAAAAUGCCACCAAUCUCAACAGUGAUCUGAUGAAAGCUAUGUGUGAAACUUUCAAAAUCAAGCACAAGAAUUCCACAACCUACAGCCCUUAGAUGAAUGGAGCCGGAGAAGCUGCCAACAAAAACAUUAAGAAGAUACUAAGGAAAAUGGCAGAGAACCACAAACAGUGGCAUGAGAAGUAACCCUUUGCUUUGUUGGGAUACCGCACUAUAGUUCGAACAUCAACCGGAGCAACUCCCUACAUGCUGGUUUAUGGUGCCGAGGCUGCCAUUCCAGCCGAGGUAGAGAUUCCUUCUUUAAGAAUCAUACAGGAAGCUGAACUCAGCAAUGCAGAGUGGAUAAGGAGCCGUUAUGAAUAAUUGGCCCUUGUAGAUGGAAAGAGGAUGAAUGCAGUGUGUCACGGCCAACUUUAUCAGAAUAGAAUGUCUAGAGCUUUCAAAAAAAUGGUCAAACCAAGGCAAUUUGCACCAGGUCAGUUGGUGCUGAAGAAGAUCUUCCCAUAUCAAGAUGAAGCCAAAGGGAAAUUCUCCCCCAACUGGCAAGGUCUGUAUAUGGUUCACAGGGUGCUGAUAGGAGGAGCACUCAUACUUGCAGAAAUGGACGGAGAAAUCUGGCCAAAGCCAAUCAAUUCAGACGCAGUCAAGAGAUACUAUGCGUAGAUUUAUUACAUUUUCCUUCUGAUGUAAUUCAACUACGCUUGACCUGAUUCUCGUUUAAGAGGGGAUACGUAGGCAGCCUUACGGGUUCGGUCAUAUCAUAAUAAAAUUUUCAUUCCCUCCCCCCCAAGCUUAGAAACUGGGGCAAAAAUUUGAGGAAGACCCUCAAAAUUCCGGAGUAAGUCCAGCCAAUGUCAUCACAUGCCAGAAAGUCAGUAAUUAGUUAAGAAACUGGGGAAAAAUUUUGAGAAGGAUUCUAAAAAAAUUAUGAAAAAGACUCAGCAAGGCUUAUUAUCCAUAGACAGUCAAAAGAUCAUCCACCAAACUGAGGCAGAAUUUUGAGGAGGACUCUCAAAAUUCCAACAUAAGAGAGAUGAAAUGCCUUUGAAAUGUGUUACGGUCACUAGUUCAUCAAAUGUAUCAAUAUAUUUCUAAAAUAACUUUAUUUUUUAUCAAAUUGCAUAUUUCGAAAACUCUAUUUUCAUGGAAGUCAGUGUCACCAAGGGGAACUCGAAAGGCUUUCAGAACGGAACAAAGCAAAGCCAGCUACUAGAAGUAAGAACCAACCUUCCCCCCGCCCAACAAAACUUACAAUUUUUCUUAGAACGUAGGCACAUCCGACGUAACGAUAACAUCCACAUAGCAAGAUCACUAUCAAUCAUGCCAUCAAACAUCGAAUAUAUCUCCAGCUAAGACAUAUACUACUUUUAUUUGCUACGUGCUCUUUGCAUGAGGCUAAUCCUUGCCUCUCUAUAUUCAUGAGUCUAAUUCUUGACUCCAUACCUGCAUGAGGCUAAUCUCUGCCUCCCUAUUUGCAUGAGUCUAAUCCUUGACUUCAUACUUUCAUGAGGCUAAUCCAUGUCUCCCUAUUUGUAUGAGUCUAAUCCUUGACUCCAUACCGACAUGAGGCUAAUCCCUGCCUCCCUAUUUACAUGAGUAUGAUCCAUGACUCUAUACCUGUAUGAGGCUAAUCCCUGCCUCCUUAUUUUCAUGAGUCUAAUCCUUGACUUCAUCCUAUGUGAAGCUAAUCCAUGCUUCCAUAUAUGCAUGAGACUAAUCCUUGCCUCCCCAUUUGCAUGAGGCUAAUUCGUGCCUCCCUGCCUGCAUGAGGCUAAUCCCUGCCUCCAUAUUCGCAUGGGACUAAGCACUGUCCCUUUUCGCACAAAUCUUGCUCUAUUUUUAGCAUUAUCUAUUAGAUUUUCUGUCAGACUAAGCUCUCCUCUACAUUUCGCAAGACUAAGCCUUGUCUUCUUAACAUCAUGUUAUUGCAUGUCAUUGGCUGAAAUAUUGCCAAUCUAUCCGAAGGCGUCAUAGUCUAAAGGCAUCAUCCUCAUAGCCCGAAGAUACUAUGCCAUGGCCUGAGGAUCUCUCAAAUUUGCACAUCAUUAUUCAAAGGCAUCAUGGAUCGGAGGCACCAUCUUCAUGGCCCAAGAACAUCAUUUCAUGGCCUGCGAAUCCCUCACUGAACAAUUCAUGGCCCAGGACGUCAUUGUCUGAGGACGUCAUCUUUAACUGUCCAAAGACAACCUUCAUAGUCGAAAGGGAAUUUGCAUUAUGUUUAAAUUUUGGCAAAUACAUGUUUGUAGCGUCUUUUAUCUGUAGGUAACUAGUAAGAAACCACUAUCCUAGUAGGAGCGAUCUCGCUCCAGUUCACUCCAACUGUCCCGAGCUUUAAUUGCUCACCAUAGCCACUUCGGCAUCACGUGUCCGUUCUUGCAAUAAUUUCAUCCGCAUAAUCCGCAGGUGAAUCCAGAACUACACAUGGCUUGAUUCCUUUAAAACUAGGGAUAUGUAGGCAACUCGAAGACCGGAGUCCGGACCGUGUCUUUCAAAGCAUCCCGUCUGGUCAGAAUUGUUAUCAUUUCUUUACCCGAAAACUCUUUCAUCCUUCUCGGGUAAAGAGGGGCAGUUGUUAUACCCAAUUUUUCCCUAUAUAUUUUUAAUAUACAUAAAUUCUUUCAAAAAUGUGUGUAUAUAUAUGCAUAUAUAAUCAUGCACAAGGUCUUUAUAAUUUUUUUUUGUAAUUUUAAAGGUUUUAAAUUGAUUUAUUUCAUCCUUUUUUACUUAUAAAAAUUUCAAUAAUUAUCCUUCAAAUUAUUGUUAUGAUAAUUUAAUCAUCUAAAUCCUAUAUUUAUGCCAAAAUAUUUCAUAAAUAUUUUUUGUGCAUUUUUUACAAUUGCAUUUAUAUUUUUCAAGGCCAAUUUGCAUAUAAUUGCAAUAUUAGCCUUAAUAAUGUACAAUUACGUUUUAUAUGCACAAAAUAAUCUUCUAUAUUUUUAAAAUAUUAAAUAUCUAUUUUAAAUCAUUUUUGUACACGAAAUUAGUUUUUAAAAAUCAUCAAUUAUUUAUUAUAAAUUAUAUAGGGCUAAAAUGGCUAUUUAAAACUUUGCCAAAUCACAUUUCAAUUAUAGCCUCAAUUAAACCCAAUACUCAGCCCAAUUUCAGGCCAAAUUACCCGACCCAGACCCUAAAUACAAUUACGAGACCCAAAACCCAUCAGAUCCUGGCCGUUGAUCUAAACGAUCAACAACCCUCAUUCAUUCCUUCUUUUUUUUAACUCUAAACAACCCCUAGCCCUAAUCAUUUUCCACAUACCGCCGCCCUAAAAUCCUUUCUACUCUCAGUACACUCUCAACCUAACCCUAGCCCUUCAACCGCUGACCUCCCAUCUCCGAUCAUCUCCGGUGACCUCUCAUCGCCUCCUACGCCUCAAUGGCUUCUCCCAUGUCAUGCUUGCCUUCUCUAAGGUCUUCAAAGGCCCAGGGCCAUGCCGAGUUGCACCUAGGGUUCGUCACCUACCUAUUCUUGGCUACUCCAAUGUGAUUUCAAGCAAAACCAUGUUGUAUUUGCAACGAUCCUUGUGUUUUCUAAGCAAGUUCUUCAUCUCUAUAUGGGUUUCUUUCGAAACCUUAAUUUCUUUUCUAUACCUCCUAGAUCUGUACAGAUCUAAGACGAUUUUAGUUUGUUCCUUUAAUGUUUUAUAUUGUCCUUGAGAUUCUUUACAAGAAUCAUUGAUUUUAAGUGUUUUUCACCUACUUCUAAAAACUAGGGUUUCAGAACUUCUUUUAAAACCUUAUUUAACUGAUUCUUUGUGUUUAAACUUUUAUUUCUUGCAUUAUUUUAACUGAUUCUAUGACUUUACUACAUCUUCAACUCAUCUAUGUUGAAAGUCCUAAUUUUAGGGCUCUUCGUUUGGUUUUUUUUGUGACUGACCGGUUCUCAUUUGAGUUCCUGUGACUAUCUAGCCUCGAAUAUGUUUCUACUGAGUUUCUUAGCCUGACUUACAUCAAGUCUAUGUGCUUGUGUUCAUCUUGACUAUUCAAGACUUGCCUCUUUCUCAUUGAAUCAGUUUUUUUAACUUGCAUGCUUGCUAGAGUUAUAUGUCAACCUUUGGCUAUCUAUCUCUUACUUUAUAUGCUAAACACUGACUCAUGAUUUUCCCUUUGACUGAUUCUGAAUUCCCUAUUUCUUAGCUUGAUUUGAAAACUUUCCUUUAAACCUUCGAUUCCUCCUGUUUAAAUUUGGCUUACUUGCUCAUUCACAGGAACCUAUGUUAUUCUCCUUAAAUUAGUAUUAUUUCGAGUGUUUGACUCACUGAUUUGCUAUAUACUGAUUCUUGAUUAUUUCCAUAUUUUCGCAACCUUAUUUUGUUUUCUUACCUUAUUUGGUUAACCGAGUAUUUUACUGAUUCUUCACCAAAUGUUUCCUUAAUUUAAUCCUUGUGUAUUUACCCCUAAUUGUCUAUUUUUCACCUAAUGCCUUACUUGAUUUUCUUUCCUCAGACAUGUCCUUCUCUUUACCGUUGGCGAAUUACCCCUUAAUUAAGGGGGUACUUGUAUUGAUUUGAUUUUGAUUAGUACAUGGUUCCCUAAUUAUUGUUGAACUUUGAUUCUUGCCUUAUUUUCUACCUAUUCUCAAAAUAUAAAUACCCUGCUCUUUCAUUAGCACAACACACGAACAGAUUGGUUCAAAACUCUCUCUCUCUCUCUCUCUUAUACUAAAAGCUUUAUGCUCUCUUUUGUGUUGCCUAUUAUUGUUCUAGGUUAUCCGACUGAAAGCCAAGGCUAACUAUUGAGUUCUCUUUUACUUUGUGUUUACCAUCCCUUUACUGGUAUGUUUUAAUUUCAAUUCAAGUCCCAAAACAAUAUGCUUCUCCUACUACUUCAAUUUGUCAUGUUUCUAAUAUGCUUUUAUUUAUGCUUUUGUUGUUCAAUUUGCAACUAACAUGUCUACUUCACUGUCUUCUUCACUACAUGCUUCUGAAUAUACCCCCUUAGGGUUAGCCUACUCAUGAAUCCCUUUCUAGUGUACCCCAAUAUGACUAUGCUUCUCUGAUUUCUGAAAUACACCUUCUUGUGUAAACUAAUUGGCCAUUCUAAGCCUGUUUGAAUCUGUAUUAACUCUGAAGUUCAUGUUGUACCUAUGUGCAUCUAUGUUUACUAUGUGCCCUAUACUUGCCCCAAAAUCAUCAUUACCUCUGAGUGAAUGUGUGUACCUGUUCUAUUCCAUGCAUUGAAAGUACUGAGGAACCUCUUCUGGUUCUGUAUUUGGUUUGUUGAUUGUUAAUCACCUUACUCUUUUUAAAAUUAUCUUAUUUAAUAACUCCCUGUGUUGUCUUUACUAAACUAUUUCAAGCAAAUCUCUUUUAACAUUGUUUUCCUACUAAAACCCUUUCAAACUAUGUCAAGAACUCUCACUUUAAUCCUAAGUCCCUAGGUUCUGCGCCCUCCAGUGUGUGUAUUUCCUUGGGAUCCUUUGGAGAUACCUCUGAACUCUGGCACACUGAGGCUGGCCCUUCCACACUAUACUUACUCAAUUUGGUUACAAAGUCUCGCUGUGAGCACCGCCCGGGAUCCUUGAGAUCCUUAGGGAACUUUGACGCACCUAGACAAUGAUAUUGUCUAUAAAAUUGGCAUUUGAGGCUAUUGGAAGUUUGGGAAAUCACUUAGGCCUACUUUAGGCUUCCUAUAGUGUAACUUCUUGUUUUUCUUUAUCUAUGCAAUUCAUUCAUCUGGUUUGUAAUAAUUUGUAAAUGAAUAUUAAGGUGAUUAGUGAAAAAGGGUAAGUAGUUACAUAUUUGUGGGGUAAUAUGGGUAGAAACCAUGCCUAUAGGAUUUUAUAUAUUUGCUAUGUCCGUCCUACCAUAUCAGAAACCAUGCCUAUAGGAUUUUAUAUAUUUGUUAUGCCUGCCCUACAAUAUUAGAAACCAUGCCUAUAGGGUCAUUUAAUAUUAUUGUUAUGUUUGUCUCACCAUGCUAGAAAUCCUACCUAUAUGGUUUAAAUGGUUUCAAAUAAUAGAAAUCAUGUCUAUAGGUUUUUAAAAUCAACUUCACAAGUAGAUACCAUGCCUAUAGAAUGUGAUCUAGUUCAACAUCUGUUAUUAUGGGUAAUUACAUUUGUUUUCAUUAAAUAUCAUGCAAGCUUCUAACAUUAGCUCUUAAACAACUAGAUAUCAUGCUUAUAAGGAAUAACAUCAGAUACUCUGCCUAUAAAUCUAAAAUCAGUUUAGUUUAAAUAAGUCAGUUCAAUUCAUCUUAGUUUACUUCGAAACUAGCCUAAUUAGUGGUUUGUUUUCCUUAAAUGAAUUCUUUCAAGUACUUCCCUAAUCUGCCAUUAGAAACAUUCCUAUAGGAAUUCAAUAGUCCGUUUUAAAAUCUACUCAUUGUUUUAUUAUAUCAACGUAGUUAUCCUGCUUCUAGCCAUCACCCUUCAAUGUUUAGGCAAGCCUGUAGGGCGUUUUAAAUUCUAUAACUCUGAAACUGUAUUUCUACUACUUGAAGUUGUUCAGAUUUAACAAGUCUAAUCAGUAGGCAAGUUAAAUAGGAUCCUUCAUAUAUUGGCCUACUUCAGUACUUUCUAACCUCUGCUCACCUAGAUAUCAUGUUCUAGGAUUUCCUUUCUUAAAUGUUUAGAUGUUGUUUGAAGACGUGCACUUAUGUGAUAUGCUUGAGGAGGUAACUGUGAGCCUCUAACUUGCUUUAUAUGCAGUCCUAAAUUGUUCUUGCAUGUUGCCUAGAAUUUUCUCCUUUUAAGCACCUUAGGGGUUGUCUAGAACUACCCAGAUUUAGAGGUCCUAAAAUACCUCCAAGGCCACAAGGACGGGAUGGGUAAUGCACGAAUAGGCAUUGUCAAGGUUACUAGAAUGCUUUAGGCUAUGACCAAGGGGAGGGACUUGGGUAGAAUGGGAUAUGAUGACUACGCGCUAAUGUCACGUUUAGACCCUCAUUGAGGAGUGUUUAUCGGGCAUUGCGUGGGGUGAUCCUGUAGGCUAACCAACCUAGGACCCCACCUUUCCAAAAUUUCUUUUGCUUUACUUGUUCUAUAUGUUCAAAAUUUGUCUUAUUAUUUGAGUUAUACAAUGUCCAACGUGCUUUACUUGCAAUUAUUUGUUUCAACAACUUAUUUGUUAAUGGACUAAUUCAUAAAUAUAAGUUCGGGUGGGACCCACAGUUGUGGACCAAGAUGGGUGCCUAACACCUUCCCCUAGAGGUUAUUUCGAGCCCUUACCCUAAAUCUCUGGUAAUGCAAAACAAUCCAAGAGUUAAUUGCUCUAGGUUCCCUAACGCGCCAUAAUCCAUUAGGUGGCGACUCUUUAAAAUCCUUGAUUCCCAAAAGGAAAUGAGUUAUUACCCCCCCAUAAAUGUCGAAAACCCGGACAUUUUCUUUCCCAUAAAAAAGGGAGGGAGAAAAAGGGGGCACAACACACUCUGCAUAAGUUGAACAUUGAUACUGAAAAGAUCCACAAUAACAGGAUAUGUGUCCAGGUUUUGACGGAGGGGGGAAAGAUUCUGUUUUGCGAUAUCAUGCUCGAACUAUCGAUAGGACCAGUUGAAUUUACCGUGGAGUUCUAGGUGCUAGAUGUGGCCGUCUCUUACAAUUUUCUAUUAGGUAGGCCCUGGAUACAUGUUGUCAAAGCAGUCCCUUCUUCCCUGCACCAGAUGGUAAAGUUCGAGUGGGACAGAUAGGAGAUCGUCGUGCAUGGUGAUGAGAACUUGUGUGCUUACAAUGAUACCUCUCUCCCGUUUAUUGAAGCCAAAGAUGAUUACGGUCCCUAGGUCUACCAAGUUUCCGAAAUAGUGUCAGUCGAGAAGAUUUAGGAGGGGGAGUGUAUUCUAGGCCAAAGUUAGCCUCUGCAUCCGUCAUGGAGCCAUCCAAAAUGCUGAAGAAUGGUUUUGUGCCGGGCAAAGGUCUGGGCGCAUUUUUACAAGGUAUCGUAUAGCUAGUGUCUCUACCUGAUAAUCUGGGUACAUUUGGUCUAGGAUUCAAGCCCAUAAGGGACGAUGUGAAGAGGGCUAAAAGGUCGAAAAAGAAGGCAUGGUCACUCCCGAAGCCUAACCCGCUCGUCUCCAGGUCCUUCGUUAAGCCAAGGGUCGUGAAGUGCCCAGUGUCAGCAGUACUAAAGCUUGUGGUCAACGUUGAUGAAGAACUAAUUGAAAGGUUUUUGAGUUUAUUUGGUAAGGUGAAAAUGAUGGAAGUUGGGGAAGGUUCCAGCAAAGCAGAUGUGAAGUUUAUUGGGCCAAAAGUGAAGCUUAACAAUUGGAAGGCUACUCCUCUCCUUACUCGGAAGGAGUUUUGGUAGUGCUCUUUGUUUUCCUUUCUGUUAUCUGGGUUAUUCCAGAGUUGUAAUCCAGAUUUUUAUUUUUUGCUUGUUUUGAUGUACAAACCCUUCUAUCCUUUAUUUUCAAUGAAAUGCCAUUUCCCUUUUUUCAUUACUCCUAAUAGUGUCAUUUUUAUUUUUCUUUGUACAGUUCUUUUUAUGCUGGUUACAAUGACAUGACAUGCAUGAGGAAUUUUCAGCCAAGUAUUAAAAGCCAAUCUAACUCUGAAAUAAUAAUCCAAGAAGUAAAGUGUGAUGAUGAAACAGAAUAUGAUGAGGAAGCGGCAUUUGAGGAAAUUAGUAAGGAACUAAAUCAUUUUGAGGAGAAACCCAAGCCUAAUUUGAAUGAAACUGAAGCAAUCAAUUUAGGAGACCCAAAUAAUGUUAGAGAAACCAAGAUAAGUGUGCACCUGGAACCACAAAAUCAAGGAACAAAUAAUCAAAGCACUAUUUGAAUAUAAGGAUAUUUAUGCAUAGUCGUAUGAUGACAUGUCGGGUUUGAGUACUGACUUGGUAGUUCACAAAUUACCAAUUAAUCCGGCAUUCCCUCCCAUCAAGCAGAAGUUAAGGAGGUUCAAGACUGACAUGAGUGUGAAGAUUAAAGAAGAAAUCACAAAGCAGCUUGAUGCAAAAGUCAUUCGAGUCACGCGGUAUCCCACUUGGUUAGCUAAUGUUGGGCUUGUGCCAAAGAAGGACGGUAAGUCCAGGGUGUGUUUUGAUUAACGUGAUCUCAACAAGGCAAGUCCAAAAUAUAACUUUCCACUGCCGAAUAUCCAUAUUCUGAUUGAUAAUUGUGUCAAGCAUGAGAUUGGGUCUUUUGUGGACUGCUAUGCGGGGUUGUUCAUUGUAACGAGAGUGUUGCCCAAUGGUGCUUUGUAUUUAAUAGAUAUAGAAGGCAAAUGUGUAGAUAUGGCUGUUAAUUCUGACGCUGUCAAGAUAUAUUAUGUAUGAUUUCAUUAGUUUGUCGUCAAUUGCGUUGUUUUUAUUUGGCAUGUUUCAAAAAUAGGAAUGACGAAGGCAUUUUACUCUAUUAUCCAAACACUUUAUCCUUCGUUACCGCUUUUGAGCCUUAAUUUUCUUUCAUACCCCUCUUUUGGAAUUGGAAGUAGGGCUUAAGAAUAAAGAAAUGAAAAAAAAAAGAGGAAAAGAAAAAAAAAGGAAAAAGAGAAAAAGAAGGAAAAAGAGGGAAGAAGAAAAGAAAAAAAAAGAGAAGAAAAAGAAAAGCAAAAGAAAAAGUAACAAAUACGAAGCAACUUUUAUGUCUUGAACUAUGUUCGACCUGAUUCCUUUUAAGGAUACGUAGGCAGCCUCAUGGUUUGAUCUCAUCAAAAUAAAAGUCCAAAAUUCCCCAGACUCAAUGAAACUGGGGCAGAAGUUGUGGUAUUGCGAAAGAUCUGAUUCUAAAAGUUGUAAUUUUGAACCUUGUUAUCUAAAACUAUUUUUGAGCUAGCAUGCCGCCUUUUCUUUCUAACCCUGCCCAAAAGCCUACAUUAUGGUCCAAAGAAAGGCCUUCCGACCAAUCUUUGGGAAAUGCCAAGUCAAGCGAGCUAGAGGUACGAUUCACAUCAUGGGUAACACUUUUAUUCAUGGGCACAAGGAAAAAUAAAUAAAUGAGAGUCUUAUUGGUGAAAACUCUCACGGGCACCGUAGGGCGAUGAAAAGCUAAGAGAAAAUUGUCGCGCCCCAACCUCGAGAGGCGCGACCGGCGCUCAAUCGAGUGAAUCCAACUGAGCAAGCCUUAUCAAACACUUCCUACCCAACUCAAUAUGAAUAAGGAAGCCAUGCUUUCAUUUAUUUAGACGAGGAAAUAUAGUACAUUCAACAUUGUUAGUUCAUUUUAUAUCACAACGUUAAGCCCUAGUUAAGUUCGAAGAUUCCAUACAAUUACACUUUAGAGAUGAAAGAGUUAGAAUUACAACAUAGUUCGUAGACCCACCCAAAACUCGUAUAUCACCCACACAUAUGUCUAUGGAGCCUCUAAAGAUGUAAAAGACAAGUAUGACAAUGCCGACAACAAGGCCCCGGCUAUACCUCAAAAGUGGAAGUCCACAACAAAAGAUGUGCAAUAUAACCCCUUGAAGGAGAAAGGAGCUCACCAAGACUUUGAGAAGAAGGUACUCCGCUACGCACGAUCGACACUAUCCGCAAUUGAGCCACUUACAUUCAUUUAAAAAUGUAGCGCCCCCGGCAAAAGGGACAUUAGUACCAUGGAAUAGUACUAGUAUGUAAAACUAAACAUCAUCUAGUUAGAUAGAACUUUCAUACCAAACAUAAGGAAAGCACAAGUAUAACUCAAAAGCUUUAAACGAUCACAACGUUAUCAAUGUAGAAGAAUCAUACAAUUUUCGCAUUAUGUUUCCAUAGCCUUUAGUUUGGGGCAUUUCAUAUUGUUCAUCAUUGUUCGCUAUACCACCGCUAGCUUGAGCGGAGUCCGAUAUCGACCCGAUGGGCUAGGUUGCUUCACUUGAGACAUACACUUCAAUCACAAUCUCAUUUUUCCCUUUUUAUCCGGGGUUCAAUAUCAACACAAUACCACCAUGUGUGCGUCAUGGCAUCCGAUAUCAGCCCGAUCAGCUAAGCCGCCUUACCAAGGCGUUUCCCUUUUCCAUCAAUCAUCUCAAUUCAAUAUUUGUAUCACAUAUAUCAUUUCAUAGGCACUUAGGGCUACAACUAUCAUGUCAUAUAUUUGGCACUAGGCCACAUUUUACACCAUUCCCAAUUUCAAUGUUAGAUUGGUAAUUUAGGAUAAUAUGUACACAGAAGAGCAAAUAAAGUUGUAAGUGUAGAUGAGACUUCACAUAGAGAACACAACAUAUACAGCUUCAAUCUCAAUUUAAGGUAUAAGCAUUUAAGUACAUGAUUCAUAUUCCUAGCCCCCUUUCAAGUUAACAAGAAUAGCACAUUUAUCAUGUUGAGGCACAUGUUUCAUGCAUAUAAAGUCGCAACCCCAAAUUCAUGUGAAACAACAACUCAUACAACAAUUCAACUCUAAUCUUACCAUAAUUAUGCAAACACCGACGGAGCUCGAUUUCUAAAAGACGGGGUUUUAGCCUUACAUACCUCAACUGAGCUUUCCUUAAUCCUAUAAUGUUCCAGAAUGUUUGCACUUCAAUAUAUGUAAGCAAUAUAGCACAAUCAAACCCAUAAUCAGGAAAAGAUCAUAAUCUAAGCUCACUUGAGCAUUUUAUCAAGCAUUGAGUGUUCAUUAAGGCCUUAUGGUCCUUUUGUGCAAGAUUACACUUAGCCCAUUCCCCAUGCUUCUCUAUUUAUACUUUCCCCAUAUCUUCUAAGAACACAUGCCUGCAAUGCAAUCACCCUUAUACCCAUGAAUUUCCUCACUAAUGAUCCCUUAUAGCUAUGUAUAAAAUAAAGAGCAGAGGUGAUGAAGUCUUACCUCCUGGGAUGAAGGUUUUGGUGCUCCACUUGAUUAUCUUCAAUGUUUUUAACAAGGAUUUGUGGAGCACUUUUGAUGAAAGUCACUUCCCCUCUCUUAGACCCUCCCUCUCACUCUAAAAGGACCAGUAAAUAGGCUCAAAAUGAGCUAUUUCACAAAAUAUGAUGACAGGGGGUCAGGUAAAAAAUUUAGAAAUCUGGAGCACCGACUCAGAUCUCCGAUCGCAUAUACGAUCGCAAAAUUGAUAUGCGGCCCGCAGAAUGGACCACAAAAAUGCUCCCAAAAACUUGAACAAUCUGCCUGGGUAUUGUCACAACUCCUUUUUACAUACCCAAAGGCAUAUAUAAGGGAGUUCUUCAAAUUUAAGUGACAAUCGAAACGAGAUUAUUUAAUCAAAUUCAGAGUCGCCACUUGGGAUAAUUUAUGCUGUCCCAAGUCACCAGUUCAAAUCCCGAAUCGAGGAAUGAUUGACUCUGUUUUAUAAUUUGCGAACACAGAAAUCUGGGUAAGGAAUUCUGUUAACCCGGGAGAAGGUGUUAGGCAUUCCCAGAUUUCGUGGUUCUAGCACGGUCGCUUAAACUAUCAUAAUUGGUCUACUAUCUGAUUUUAAUACAUGUUUUAGCCUAUGGUACAAUUUUAACUUAUUAAACCACUUUUAAUUAUUUUUAGGAAGAUUCAACGUUAUUUAAAAUACGCCUUGAACCAUGCCACAUGAAAUGCACCCACGGUUCGCGACACGUUCUAUUUAUUGUUGUUGAGAUUCGAAUUUGUGUCACAUGAAAUAUACACCCGAAUGGGAAUUAUGUAUCAUGACCAUGUCACGGGAACCAUACCCAUAGUCACAAUAAUUUAUUUAUUAAGAAUUUGCCUAAGGCAUGCUAAUAAUUUUGGAAUCAGUAAUUAUUUAUUAUGAACUGAAAGAACGAAAUGGGCCAACAACGUAUAUUUAAAAGGAUUAGAUUCACUAUAGCUCUUGUUGAAUUAGGCUAAAAAAAAUAUUUGGCCCAUUAUUGAGCUUAUUUAAAGCACUAUAUCCAUCUAGCUCUAAUUCUUAAAGUUUUUAUAUUCAGCUUCAAAAACGAACUUGAACAAGAUUUCAAAACCAUAAAUUAAUAAAGAUAAUAAAUAGAAAAAUCUUUUGUGUUCCAAAAAACUAAUUUGUUCAGCAACUUAAGCCCCAUUUCUAUUGAUGAAUAACAAACAUGAGGGAUCCAAGUUAUAGAUUAUUAAUCUAUUCUGACAAACAAAGCAGUCACUACAAUAUUUAGCAAUAAUUACCAUAUAAAAACAAAAGACAAACUAUACUCAGAACUAAUCAAGUGAAUUAGAGAAAAUGAGUAAAAACAUGGAUAAGAUAUGGUCAAAAAUAGAGACUAGGAACUAAAAUGAAGGGAAAGAUGAAAACAGACCUUUAUUGAUAAUUUUUCUUUUCUAUUGCAUACAGUGGAACAAUGCUCUAGAUAUGCAUGAAAUGACCCAUCUCCGGAGCGCAAACAGAACUUCGAUAGAUCGUAGCUUCGAUCGAACCGCGACUAGAACAAGGAAAACUCACUGGAAAAUCUCGUAACUCCGCGUAUUACUUGGAUCGACUCCGACGUGUAUAUAUAUAUAUUUUUUUUUUGACGUGAAAUUAGUGAUUAUUUUGAAUUGUAUUAAGAGGGAAAUAGGGAAGCUGCAACUGCUGAAUUUGCUAGCUUUGUUGUUGUGUUAUUCCUUGAAGAAUGAGUUGUAACGCUAGAGUUCGAAGAUCCAGGUCUAUGGAGAAAAUAGCAACUGAUUUUGGAGCUUUGCAGUGAGGUGUUGUGUUGCCGCUGUGCGUGAGUAUGUAGGGUGGUGUUGGAGGGUUCCGAUUGGUUGAGGUUGUUUAGUUUUUGUCCACCAUAGAAAAUGGGUAAAAUUAUCUUUAGGAAGAAGAAGAUGAAACUCUGCUUUUUUCUCCCAUUCCCAACUUUGCCCAGAUAUAUUUUCCGUCCUUUUUUUCAGUGUGUGCAUGUGUUAUAUAGAAAGAAGAAACGUGAAAGGAAAGAUUCCCCAGCUCUUUUUCCUUCUUCAGGACGUGAGUGUGCAUGUGAAUUUGGAUAAGAGGGAAUAAAAGUGGUUAUAGAAAAAGCUAGG
rnacentral:lncRNA from 1 species